GAUGAACGCUGGCGGCGUGCCUAAUACAUGCAAGUCGAGCGAACAGAUGAGGAGCUUGCUCCUCUGACGUUAGCGGCGGACGGGUGAGUAACACGUGGAUAACCUACCUAUAAGACUGGGAUAACUUCGGGAAACCGGAGCUAAUACCGGAUAAUAUAUUGAACCGCAUGGUUCAAUAGUGAAAGACGGUUUUGCUGUCACUUAUAGAUGGAUCCGCGCCGCAUUAGCUAGUUGGUAAGGUAACGGCUUACCAAGGCAACGAUGCGUAGCCGACCUGAGAGGGUGAUCGGCCACACUGGAACUGAGACACGGUCCAGACUCCUACGGGAGGCAGCAGUGGGGAAUCUUCCGCAAUGGGCGAAGGCCUGACGGAGCAACGCCGCGUGAGUGAUGAAGGUCUUCGGAUCGUAAAACUCUGUUAUUAGGGAAGAACAAAUGUGUAAGUAACUAUGCACGUCUUGACGGUACCUAAUCAGAAAGCCACGGCUAACUACGUG
rnacentral:rRNA from 1 species